rnacentral:ncRNA from 1 species
CAACGCACUCCACUUCAUGCUGCGGGUGGGUGAAAGAAAGGAGAAUCCCGCUUUGUUCAGCGGUGCGGCAGUGUGGAGACCUGCCGUAAAGUCCGGAAGAUCCGACUGCUUCCGGGCGAGACGGGGACGCGGAGGCGGAACCGCCAUGAACAAGAUCGAUGGCA